rnacentral:rRNA from 1 species
CCCUUAGAUGUUCUGGGCCGCACGCGUGCUACACUGAUGCAUUCAACGAGUCUAAAACCUGGUCUGAUAGGGCUGGGUAAUCUUUUGAAAGUGCAUCGUGAUUGGGAUAGAUGAUUGCAAUUCUUCAUCUUCAACGAGGAAUGCCUAGUAAACGCAAGUCAUCAGCUUGCAUUGAUUACGUCCCUGCCCUUUAUACACACCGCCCGUCGCUCCUACCGAUUGAAUGAUCCGAUGAAUACCAUGGAUUGAGAGUACGAAUAGGUUCGCUUAUUUCUGCUGCUCGAGAAGUGGAGUAAAUCUUAUCAUUUAGAGGAAGGAGAAGUCGUAACA